rnacentral:lncRNA from 1 species
UGGUUAUCCUAUGGAGAAGUUUUUAUUUCAUUCUUAUCGGAACAAAUGCUAGAAAAAAAUGUUUUCCGUCAUUAUUCCGUGAAUAUUGCAGAUAUGCUAAAUAAUAGGGAAAUAUAUUAUACGACUUGUUAUUCGGGAAGCGGAAAUGACGAUAUUUUCCAAUUAUUUCCGGUAAAUAUAAAAUAUCAAAAUUGCAAUAACUUUCUCUCCCACGCCUCUAGAGUCUUCUUAUGGGUCUUCUAGUUUUAAAAGCUAAAAAAUAUAUUCUUAGAUGCAAGCGUGGAGAGUGAUUAUAUAGGUCUCGGGCUAAUCAGAAAUAUGAGACCCCCAUCUCAUUAAUAAAUCGUUAAAAAUAUACGAAUAAAAUCAAUAAAACAAACAAAAAUAGAUUUUUUUCAACCACUCUUCCGUCAUGUAUUUUAUAUUAAAUUCUAAAUUUUGAGAGCCUUUCUAAGUCUGGCAGCCAGAUCAAAUGGCCUUGAUAGAUCAAUUCUGUUUGGGCUUCCUUAGAUAUAAAAUUAAUUAAUGUUAACAAGCAAUAAAACAAUCAAAACUGAACUUUUAGGAAACAUCUAAUUCUUUAUGAAAGAUUAGGCCUGUAUUUCGUGUGCAUAAAUAUGUCAAAAAAAUUUAUUAAACUCUAUAAUUUGGUCCACACUUUAUAUUUCGGAAAACGAUAAAGAAUAAAAUUUAACAUAAACUUUAAUAAUAACGUAUACUUAUAAAUUACAGUUUAGUUCUAAUUUGUAGGUUGUAAAAAUAUAAGAUAGUCGUCUUAGUCUAAUUUUCGAAUGAUUUUAUAAAUUAAUCCUAUUUAGUUUUGUAGAAUGUAGAGAACACUUUAAUUGCUGUGAACUUAACGUUAACAAAUAUUUUAUUGGCUAUUAAGAGUUGCAUCGACUGCAUAAGAUAGUCCCACGUUCAAUUUAUUUAAUUUUAAAGCUACAGGCCGGUUAGAAAGUCUAUUAUUAAAAUUUGACUCUGGGAAAAGGAACAGAAAGGAUACAUUCAUUUUGUUUAAAGUUCAAGUUCCAAAAGAUUAAAUCGCUUUAGAAAUUAUUAUCUUAAAUUUUACAAGAGAAAAGGAAGGCAACAUAAUUUCAAUUUGUAAAAAAUCUGAAGGCAUCAGUGCAUAUCGAACAUUUUGCACAUAUGCAAAUGUUGCUGUAAAAAUUUAUAGUUUAGAAUAUAUUUUUCGAUAGAGUUAGUAAUUUGUUAAUAUUUUUAAUAUAUAAGUUAUUAUUAUUGUUUUGGAUAACUUACCAGUCAUUUACCUUAAGCAUCUACAGUUCUGUUUUGUAUAUCUCUUAUUUCAUAACUUGCCUCUGGGCUUGGAACUCAGUUGUUUAUACUUUAUAUAUUUUUUCUUUUUUAAGAGUUGUUUUACUAGAAUUGUCAAUACCUUAUUUAAGGCAGCUAGAAGAUAUCAGGAGCAAAGAUGCCUUGCGGAACGGAGCGUUAUUUCUUCUUUUUUUUGGACUCAUAAUCACGGGUUACCAAUAGAUAAUCGCAGGUUCGAGACGGUAAAAUUUUCUUUUCUUCUACGGAUCUAGCAGGUAUGAGGAUAAUGUCUUUGUCGUAUUUCUUCCACAUAUAAACAACAUUUACACCGUCCAAUCGUUGACCAGAAGAACUUCCUUCCUCCAAUUUACAUGGCUAUAGAAACGAAAGAAAUUUUCACAAGAUGGCCGUCAGAACUUUCUAAAAGAGUCGGUUGUACUUUUUUCUCACCUUUGUGUAUAGCCUAAUUGUCGUAUACUUCAGAGUGUCUCUAAUUGCAAUGCUAGAUCUCCAAUCUAUUGUUUCAUGCGUGGGAAACAUUCUCUUUUUUUUUGUGUCUCCAUUCAACUCUUUAAGACUGGUAUUGGCUAUAUAGAAGCCUAUAUAUAUAUAUAUAUACAGACUAUAUAUACAAAAUAUAUUUGUAAGUAUCGAACCGUAUCUAGUACGAAAAUAACUUAUUUUAAUUUUCUGAAGAUCUACUUUGUAAAGAUUCAGUUCAAAUUAAAUUAAUAUCCUCUCGAAAUUUUAUUUAAUUAUAGAGAGAAUAAUUUAAGAUCAGCUUCUAUUCAUUGGUAAAUAAACAAGAUAGUAUUAUUAUAUUUUUUUUUGUAUAUAAUUAUAAAGAUUAUAAAUGAACAAGAUGCGAUUAUAUUACUUUUAGUUUUUUCUUUUAACCACUUUUCUAAGUAGCCUAAGUAUAUUGAGAGAGAUAACAAAAUUUUAAUAAUAAAGAAAUCGUCAUUCGUAAUCUAAUACUUUAACCUUCUUUUCACAUAAAUCUAUUCCCUGGAGAUGAAGAUCCAAUCCUGUUACUAGGAUUGUCUCUUUCCUAGUAUCAAUUUAGUUUUAAGGAUGCACUCUGAUGGUCGAACGGUUCACAAAAUGCGGUAUGUACGUGACGAUGUGUGGUCUAGAUCAUCAGAUUAGAUGCGAUUCUAAGGGAAAGUAAAAAGUCUUAAAAUUCGUUUUUUUAAAUGAAAAUGUUAUCAAAGCUCUAGAAACAAACAAUGCCAUGUUAAAUUAAUUUUGUUUUUUGUUUUUUUUUUAAUUUGCACGUUAUAUACUGCUCUGAACAAAACUUAAUAAUUUAUCUUUUUAUUUUUGGAGUAGGAAGUUAACAUUGCAGUCAAUAGGGCCUAUUAUUCCAAAAUCUCUUUAAUGCUAAUAUUGAGAUUUUUUAGUAAUAUUUAGAACAAAAUAUUCUAGUAGAGUUAUAAAAUAUGACUUAGAAUUUUUAAACUUUAAUAAUUCAGUAUUAUUAAAAUUAUAUAAAUAGAGAAAACUAUCAGAUUGAUUGAACUCAUACUUCUACAGAUCUAUCACAUGGCGUAAAAAUUAAUUCUAUAAAUUAUUACUGUUUAAUGUGAAUCUAUAGUUUAUUAUAAUUAUAGAUUUAUGAAUA